rnacentral:miRNA from 9 species
GGGGAAGUCACUCUCGUCUCCAUG